UUAUAAUUUCUUUACUUUUAGUGAUGUCACUAUUUAUUUCAUUUUUCCAUCAAAACUUUUAAGUUUUACAAUAAAUUUUCAGAGGAAACACAAAUAGAGUGUCCAGCACACACACACACACACACUCACACACAUUUGCUGUGGCUGCGCUUUUAUACUUAUAUAUGAGCUGCACAAUUCCAACUCGUCAUAAAAAAUACACGACGACCAGCGAGCAAAUAUUUGAAAUAAAAAGCGGAUUUAUUUCGAGUAAAAGAAAAAAGCAAGGAUUAACCUAAAUAAAUACAAAACAAUUGUGAAAAUUGUGCCUGGAUGAUAAAGUUCCUCCCCCCCGACCAAGGAAUGUCAUAUUGAAUAAGAAAUUCCGUGCCGUAGAGACUGGAGGCUCUAAGGAGUUCAGCUGACCGCAAUGAUCUAUUGCCGCCAAGUCUGAAGAAUAAAAAUGAAAAUGAAGCCAGCAGAUGGCAAAGCAAAACAAUAAAGGCAGGCUAAGAGUAAAGAGUAAAAAAGGAAAAAAAAACCAAUACAGAUGAGUAAAGCGACUUAGUGAUACCCGGUGCUCUCUACCAAUUGUUUUCUCUUUUAGGUUUUCUUAGGAUUUGUAAAAAAUAUUCUGAUUAACUUUCAGUUUCGUAAUUGGAUGACUAUGAAUGAAUAGAUACCAUUUCGAUGUCCGUGUGCAUUGACAUUUCGGAGGCAUCCUGACGAGGCUAGAUCUUUUAUUUUUCAGCUUGCUAACAUUGGCAUAGAAGCAAUAUACCCCCAUUGUCCUGCAGUACCAGAUAAAGGAGGAAAAAGCCAAGGGCGUAAAGAGAUAUUGUGGCUAAAUGCAGUGGAUGAUGAUGAAGCUGGGACUUUGGUGGAUCUCGAAUGGCGGCCACUUCAUUAUGCCGGAAAAUGCAUGAAGUGUUGAAAAAUGAUUCCCUCAGCAGCAAAAGCGGAGGCAACAAGCUGGGAAUCAUUGGAGGCGGCAAGUGCAUUUGACUUUUAUGCUUUUUGCGCAACUCCCUCGGGGGACGUAUCGCAGGCGUUGAAAGAAGUCCAACUUUUCACACAAAGCGCCUCGGGAUUUUCUGAAUAUCCCUACAUAGUUUCGAAAAACACAGCAAAGAAGACACGCCGUGGAAAGUGUUUUGGGUGCUAAGUGCGAUGGACAAAACAGCUGCUCCUUUCCAAACUCGCAGUCGUCUUCAUCAUCAGCGGCAUCAGCUUCGCAGCAGCGUCAUCCCCGUUGGCCAUGUCAUCAUCAGCGCUGUCGCAAAUUGUUUACUGGAUGCCCUCGGAAAACUUACUUCAAACAAAGUCAUGUGGACACUGGGGAAUGGGCGGUGGACAAGGGCCCAGUGCUGCUUUCCCGUCCAUAAUCUGCUUGUAAUAAUUUGGCUAAUUAUCCAAUAAAAGAAGAAAUUUAUUUAAUUGACAAAUGAACACCGACAAGCUGAACCCCAUGUUAUUUAAAUCGACAUCCAAGACAACAGACAGAGACAGACCUUCAAUGAAACGCAUUCUGGGACCAUUUUAUCUAGCGUUCAAAAGAACGAAAACAAGAAAUAUUUCUUGAAAAUUAUAUUCACUAAGUGCAGAGCGAAUGCGAAAAGAUGCAGAGGCACGUAAUCAGUCGAAAUAAACACUUGCGCUUCUAAAUAGAUAAAAAUAUCUACACUUCAAUAAACAUGAAAAUCAUCGGCCGAGCUGAAAACGAGCGCAAAAUGUGUUGAAAAUUGCACAGGCAAUGCGAUCAUAAAGCAUUCGCCAUUAAUGACACCAGCCCGACAGAUACAUCCCAUUGUCAAUAACUUUUACGCCGCGCAGAUUGCCAGCCCGUCGCCCCCUCCUCACCAUCUCCCCACGCCCCUGCCCCCUUUACAAAAUCAAAUUCAAAUUUCCCAAACGAGCAACCGCAGAAUGCAGCCGAAUGAUGACGAUGUCGAUGCAACUAGCCUAAGGGGAAAGCAAAGGGGAUUGACGCGCACACUGGUCUGCGAUUUUGCAGACAGGAAAAGAAGCGUUCUUUGGUCCUUUAAUAGUUCUGGGCCAACAUUUUUAGAGAAAAUCAAAACUAAUAAAGAAUUUAACCUACAUUUGGCACUAAAAGGAGGCA